rnacentral:rRNA from 1 species
AACGAACGCUGGCGGCAUGCCUAACACAUGCAAGUCGAACGAAGGCUUCGGCCUUAGUGGCGCACGGGUGCGUAACGCGUGGGAAUCUGCCCUUUGCUUCGGAAUAACAGUUAGAAAUGACUGCUAAUACCGGAUGAUGCCGCAAGACCAAAGAUUUAUCGGCAAAGGAUGAGCCCGCGUAGGAUUAGCUAGUUGGUGGGGUAAAGGCCUACCAAGGCGACGAUCCUUAGCUGGUCUGAGAGGAUGAUCAGCCACACUGGGACUGAGACACGGCCCAGACUCCUACGGGAGGCAGCAGUGGGGAAUAUUGGACAAUGGGCGAAAGCCUGAUCCAGCAAUGCCGCGUGAGUGAUGAAGGCCUUAGGGUUGUAAAGCUCUUUUACCCGGGAUGAUAAUGACAGUACCGGGAGAAUAAGCUCCGGCUAACUCCGUG